CGCGGCCUAUCAGCUUGUUGGUGGGGUAACGGCCCACCAAGGCAUCGACGGGUAGCUGGUCUGAGAGGACGAUCAGCCACACUGGGACUGAGACACGGCCCAGACUCCUACGGGAGGCAGCAGUGGGGAAUAUUGCGCAAUGGGCGAAAGCCUGACGCAGCAACGCCGCGUGGGGGAUGACGGCCUUCGGGUUGUAAACCCCUUUCAGCAGGGACGAAAAUGACGGUACCUGCAGAAGAAGCCCCGGCCAACUACGUGCCAGCAGCCGCGGUAACACGUAGGGGGCAAGCGUUGUCCGGAUUUAUUGGGCGUAAAGAGCUCGUAGGCGGUUGCGUAAGCCGGAUGUGAAAACUCAGGGCUCAACCCGGAGACGCCGUCCGAUACUGCGCUGACUAGAGUCCGGUAGGGGAGCAUGGAAUUCCUGGUGUAGCGGUGAAAUGCGCAGAUAUCAGGAGGAACACCAGUGGCGAAGGCGGUGCUCUGGGCCGGUACUGACGCUGAGGAGCGAAAGCGUGGGUAGCGAACAGGAUUAGAUACCCUGGUAGUCCACGCCGUAAACGUUGGGCACUAGGUGUGGGGCCUACUUAACGGGUUCCGUGCCGUAGCUAACGCAUUAAGUGCCCCGCCUGGGGAGUACGG
rnacentral:rRNA from 1 species